CCUACGGGAGGCAGCAGUGAGGAAUAUUGGUCAAUGGGAGAGAUCCUGAACCAGCCAAGCCGCGUGAGGGAAGACGGCCCUAUGGGUUGUAAACCUCUUUUGUCGGAGAACAAAACCCGGGACGUGUCCCGGACUGCGUGUAUCCGAAGAAAAAGCAUCGGCUAACUCCGUGCCAGCAGCCGCGGUAAUACGGAGGAUGCGAGCGUUAUCCGGAUUUAUUGGGUUUAAAGGGUGCGUAGGCGGUCCGUUAAGUCAGCGGUAAAAUUGCGGGGCUCAACCCCGUCGAGCCGUUGAAACUGGCAGACUUGAGUUGGCGAGAAGUACGCGGAAUGCGCGGUGUAGCGGUGAAAUGCAUAGAUAUCGCGCAGAACUCCGAUUGCGAAGGCAGCGUACCGGCGCCAGACUGACGCUGAGGCACGAAAGCGUGGGGAGCGAACAGGAUUAGAUACCCCAGUAGUC
rnacentral:rRNA from 1 species